UGNUCUGUCACUGACGCUGAGGCUNGAAAGCGUGGGUAGCGAACAGGAUUAGAUACCCUGGUAGUNCACGCCGUAAACGAUGAGUGCUAGGUGUUAGGCCCUUUCCGGGGCUUAGUGCCGGAGCUAACGCAAUAAGCACUCCGCCUGGGGAGUACGACCGCAAGGUUGAAACUCAAAGGAAUUGACGGGGGCCCGCACAAGCGGUGGAGCUUGUGGUUUAAUUCGAAGCAACGCGAAGAACCUUACCAGGUCUUGACAUCCCGAUGCUAUUCUUAGAGAUAGGAAGUUACUUCGGUACAUCGGAGACAGGUGGUGCAUGGUUGUCGUCAGCUCGUGUCGUGAGAUGUUGGGUUAAGUCCCGCAGCGAGCGCAACCCUUAUUGUUAGUUGCCAUCAUUAAGUUGGGCACUCUAGCGAGACUGCCGGUAAUAAACCGGAGGAAGAUGGGGAUGACGUCAAAUCAUCAUGCCCCUUAUGACCUGGGCUACACACGUGCUACAAUGGUCGGUACAACGAGUUGCGAGCCGGUGACGGCAAGCUAAUCUCUGAAAGCCGGCCUCAGUUCGGAUUGGAGGCUGCAACUCGCCUCCAUGAAGUCGGAAUCGCUAGUAAUCGCGGAUCAGCACGCCGCGGUGAAUACGUUCCCGGGCCUUGUACACACCGCCCGUCACACCACGAGAGUUUGUAACACCCGAAGUCGGUGAGGUAACCUUUUAGGGGCCAGCCGC
rnacentral:rRNA from 1 species